AAAGUGUUCUUAGUGAGUUAGUUCAGCUCUAAGGUUUUUUUUCUUUGAAUCAAAAUUCAAUCAAGUAGAGUCUUAAGUGAAUUUUUUUUAUUUGUAGUGAAAAGGUAGUUAGUUAGUUUAUCAGAAUCAAAGUCAAAGCCCGCGUAAUGGGCUUUGACUUUGUGACAAAAAAAGGAAUUGUCGAAAAACAAAUUAUGUGGAUAAUUAUGAUUAUGAUUAUCUGAUAUUACUAAUGAGUAAACCUCUAGCAACAAGAUAAAAAGCAAAUUUUUC
rnacentral:lncRNA from 1 species